GCCGCCGUCUCAGCAGCAAACCAAAGUCCACAGAAGCAAGAUUCAUCCACUUGGAAGGUUAUCAUUAUCAUUAGACUUCACAUUUGAUGCACCCAACAGUUUGCAAAGUGUUGCCCUCCCUGGCCAUCACCUAAGGUGAAUCUCAACACAUCUUUGCUAGGUUAUCGAGGCAGAUCAUAUUUGUAUUUCUAGAGGAGAAAUCAAAGCUGAUAAUUGCCAGGGUCACUUAGAAAUUCAGCAGGGAUUCAUUCAGUUCCCUGUGAUUGCAAAGCCUGCUCCUUCCACCCUAGCUCUGGGCUGUACCUACCACAGGUCACUUCAAAUGACUCCAGGUAGAGUAGGAUGGGAGAGGAGAGAACACCCAACCGAGGAAGAGGGCAAGGACAGUCUUUUGCUGAUUUCCCACACUCACUACCAGCUUUAACACAAUACAGUCCAUUUUGUAUCUGUUCCGUAGAAAGGGCAAAAAAUUCGAACUUUCGAUAAAGCUUUCUUCAAUCCAACCUUGUAUAUAGUCCAAAACCAGCACGCUUGAAGGGCUCUUACCCACUGAGUUUAGAUAUCACUCUUGUCAAGCCUCUGUCCGAUGUUCUUCUUGAUGAAAUUGUCCCUCUUUUUCCAACUCUCCAUUUCUUUUUCAAACACACAAUCCAGGGAAAUUGUUAUACUCUAUAUGUUUUUGGGCUCCUCCAAGUCCUGGGAGAAUACUGCGAGAUCAUAUUCUCCCCACGAAAAUAGAUUUUCCUUCUUCCUCUGUGUGAAGCGAACCGUGAUCUCUUGGCCUAGAUGGCUUUGUCCCGAGCCAACAACAAAUGAGGGGAUUUGAUAAGGAAAAAUCAUUUGGACUGGUUUUCAAGAACCUGGUGAAAACAGGAUCAAAAGUUGCCUGUUCUCAGAUGUCGUCACACAUGACUUAAAAAAAGGAGGAGGAGGAAGAAGAGGAGAAAAAAGAAGUGUGGAUA
rnacentral:lncRNA from 1 species